GUACUGAUGAGGAGUCGGAAAAUAGGACGAAACAGCCGUCCAGUAC
rnacentral:hammerhead_ribozyme from 1 species